rnacentral:rRNA from 1 species
GAACGACCCGUGAAUCGGUUAAAAAUUAUUCGGGAGAGACGCGCGCCCUCGGGCCUAUCUCCCAGAGCCCUCGGCCAAGGUCGCGUGGUUGAAAUCCACGUCCUUUGCCCGAGGGCGAAAACUAACAAAACCCCGGCGCGAGUCGCGCCAAGGAAAACAAACAAAGAAAGAUGCGCUCCCCUCGUCCCGAAAGGGUGCGUCGGGAAUCGCGUCGUCGUUAUCACCUUCCAAACGACUCUCGGCAACGGAUAUCUCGGCUCUCGCAUCGAUGAAGAACGUAGCGAAAUGCGAUACUUGGUGUGAAUUGCAGAAUCCCGUGAACCAUCGAGUUUUUGAACGCAAGUUGCGCCCGAAGCCGUCUGGCCGAGGGCACGCCUGCCUGGGUGUCACGAAAAGUCGUCGAAUGCCCCUCCCUCGCCCCUUACGAGCGGGCGCAGCGAGGGACGACGGAUGUUGGCCUCCCGUGGCCUCGCGCGCGCGGUUGGCCCAAAAGUUAGGCAUGCCGACACGGCGGCCGCGACACACGGUGGUUGAAAGCGCAAGCUCCCCUCGAACACCGUCGUGGGCCAGCACCGUUGACGGGGAGCCGAAGGCCCCGACGCGCAGCGUCAUCG